rnacentral:tRNA from 1 species
GCGGCCGUGGCGGAAUUGGCAGACGCGCAAGGUUCAGGUCCUUGUUCCCGAUAAGGGAGUGAAGGUUCAAAUCCUUUCGGCCGCA